rnacentral:rRNA from 1 species
GAUGAACGCUGGCGGCGUGCCUAAUACAUGCAAGUCGAGCGAACAGAUGGGGAGCUUGCUCCUCUGACGUUAGCGGCGGACGGGUGAGUAACACGUGGAUAACCUACCUAUAAGACUGGGAUAACUUCGGGAAACCGGAGCUAAUACCGGAUAAUAUAUUGAACCGCAUGGUUCAAUAGUGAAAGACGGUUUUGCUGUCACUUAUAGAUGGAUCCGCGCCGCAUUAGCUAGUUGGUAAGGUAACGGCUUACCAAGGCGACGAUGCGUAGCCGACCUGAGAGGGUGAUCGGCCACACUGGAACUGAGACACGGUCCAGACUCCUACGGGAGGCAGCAGUAGGGAAUCUUCCGCAAUGGGCGAAAGCUUGACGGAGCAACGCCGCGUGAGUGAUGAAGGUCUUCGGAUCGUAAAACUCUGUUAUUAGGGAAGAACAAAUGUGUAAGUAACUAUGCACGUCUUGACGGUACCUAAUCAGAAAGCCACGGCUAACUACGUG